GACUCCUCAGUCCAACUUCUGAAAAUGAGGCUCCCUGCUCUCAGCUCCUGGGGCUGCUGGUGCUCUGGGUCCCUGGAUCCAGUGGGGAGAUUGUGAUGACCCAGACGCCACUCUCCCUACCUGUCACCCUUGGAGAGCCGGCCUCCAUCUCCUGCAGGUCUAGUCAGAGCCUCCUGCAUAGCAAUGGAAACACCUAUUUGAGUUGGUACCUGCAGAAGCCAGGCCAGUCUCCACAGCUCCUGAUCUAUUUGGGUUUCACCCGGGCCUCUGGGGUCCCAGACAGGUUCAGUGGCAGCGGAUCAGGCACAGACUUUACACUGAAGAUUAGCAAGGUGGAGGCUGAGGAUGUCGGGGUUUAUUACUGCAUGCAAACUAUACAAGUUCCUCCCACAGUGGUAAAGCCCCAAACAGAAACCUCCUUGCUGGGUGGCCCAGCUGCCCACCAGUGUUGUUUGCCUGGUGAGCAGGCGCCACAGAGCACGUUGUAG